UACGGAGGGUGCAAGCGUUGUCCGGAUUUAUUGGGUUUAAAGGGUGCGUAGGUGGCCCGUUAAGUCCGGGGUGAAAGCCCACUGCUCAACAGUGGAACUGCCCUGGAUACUGGCGGGCUUGAGUCCAGACGAGGUUGGCGGAAUGGAUGGUGUAGCGGUGAAAUGCAUAGAUACCAUCCAGAACCCCGAUUGCGUAGGCAGCUGACUAGGCUGGUACUGACACUGAGGCACGGAAAGCGUGGGGAGCGAACAGG
rnacentral:rRNA from 1 species